UCUUCAUCUAUCGCAUCUCCUUCACUCAUUAUCUCAAACAUAUCCAACUUGAUACCCAUCAAAUUGAACAGCUCGAACCAUCUUCUUUGGCGUUCUCUUUUCGAACCAAUUCUCAAAGGUCACAAUCUCAUGUCUUACAUUGAUGGAACCUCCCAAGCGCCUGCUUCAACUGACGAAAAUUACAAGACAUGGAUUGAAAAAGAUAAGAUGAUAUUCUCCUGGAUCAACGCUACUUCGUCUGAAUCUACACUUCCAUAUGUAGUUGGCGCUACAUCUGCAAAAGUCGUGUGGGAUGUCCUCGCUCGUCGCUAUGCCUCUCUCACUCCUGCUCAUGUAAUGUCUCUGAAAAGACAAUUACAUCACCUCAAGAAGGGCAACCUCACCAUGCAAGAAUAUCUCCAACAAUUCAAAACUUUAGCUGAUAAACUCGCAAUUUGUGGAUCUCCAGUAAGUGAUGAUGAUCUCCUAUUUUCAUUCUCGAUGGAUUGCCUGCUGCUUACCGCUCCUUUGUAUCCUCUAUUCGUGUUCAUGCUCAUCAAACUUCCAUCACUAUUGAAGAUUUACACAAUUUCCUACUCUCUGAAGAGCUGAGCAUCACUGAUGAUUUAUUAUCCAAAACUACUACUGCCUUCAUUGCAAACUGGCAAUCUCAAACUCUUUCUCCUGGGUAGCACUCAUUCACACCUCGUCUCUAUAGGGGUGGCACUAGUUAUAGGGGACGCAACAUGCGUCAUUCCAAUCGAGCUGGACUUCUCCCUACUCCAUCAUUUCGACCUCAAGGUUGUCAACUGAAUACUAGUCGGCUAAUCUAUCAUAUCUGCAACAAACAUGGCCAUAGUGCCAUUGAUUGCUAUCAUCGCAUGAACUAUGCAUGCCACGAUCACAAUCCUCCUGAAAAACUUGCUGCCAUGGCUAUUGCACCACCUACUAAUGAUGGCACUUGAUAUAUUGAUACUAGCACCAGCCAUCAUAUUACAGUCGAUCUGGGUAAUCUCUCCAUCUCCGCUCCCUAUAGUGGUUCUGAUGAAGUUCAGGUUGGAAAUGGCCAAGGUCAUUCUCACGUUGGCGGUCACCUAUGGAUGGGCGAUUCAACAACUUGAUGUCAAAUGUGCAUUUUUACACGGCGAUCUCCAAGAAACUAAAAUGAUUCUAAAGCUAUGUCUGCUAUCGUUGAGGAACUUCGCCACUCAUUCAAGAUGAAGGACUAAAGCCCUUUGACUUAUUUCUUGGGCAUUCAGCUUGUUCGACGAAGCCCCCAUCAUAUAUUCCUUAAUCAGGCAAAGUAUAUUCAUGACCUCUUAUAUUGCACCAAUAUGUUGGACUGUAAGCCUGUUUUCAGUCCAACUACCUCGAAUAAACUCGGUCAUUCAAGCAGUGACCUUGUCUCAGAUCCUACACUAUAUAGGAGUGAGUGUUGUUGGAGCACUUCAAUAUGUUACUUUCAGUCAUCUUGACGUUAGCUAUGCUGUUAAUCAGGCUUGUCAAUUUCUCAAAGCACUCGAAGAACACCAUUGGCGUGCUGUAAAGCGUAUCCUUCGCUAUUUGAAAGGCACAAUCUCUUAUGGCAUGCAAAUUCAACCUGGUCCUAUUUCUUUACAUGCCUAUUGUGACGCUAAUUAAGCUAGCAAUCCUUAUGAUCGUCACUCUACUAGUGGCUAUUGUUUAUUUCUCGGGGCCAACCUUGUUUCUUGGAGUGCAAAAAAGCAACCUACUAUUGCAUGUUCUUCUAUAGAGGCCAAGUAUCGUUGUCUUGCUCAAACAGCUCCUGAAAUUCAAUGGCUCCUCUCUCUUCUCCGAGAAUUACGAAUCUCGCUCGCUUGCGCUCCCGUAUUGUGGUGUGACAAUAUCUCUACCAUUGCUCUAACUCGAAAUCUAGUUUUUCAUAGUCACACUAAACACAUUGAAAUAGAUUGUCACUAUGUUCGUGAAUUGGUGGGUCGCUAGUUACUUGACAUCCAUUACAUCA